rnacentral:rRNA from 1 species
UACGUAGGGUGCAAGCGUUGUCCGGAUUUAUUGGGUUUAAAGGGUGCGUAGGCGGCCUUGUAAGUCAGUGGUGAAAUACAAUAGCUUAACUAUUGAGGUGCCAUUGAUACUGCGGAACUUGAGUACAGACGAGGUAGGCGGAAUUGACGGUGUAGCGGUGAAAUGCUUAGAUAUCGUCAAGAACACCGAUAGCGAAGGCAGCUUACUAGACUGUAACUGACGCUGAUGCACGAAAGUGUGGGGAUCAAACAGG